ACACCUUUUAGCUCAGUGGCCGAGCGUUGAAUUUGAAAGCCACAGGUCGUUGGUUCGAUUUCACCCGGGCGCA